UACGUAGGGGGCGAGCGUUGUCCGAAGUUACUGGGCGUAAAGCGCGCGUAGGCGGUUGUUUAAGUUAGAUGUGAAAUCCCGCGGCCCAACUGCGGAACUGCAUCUGAAACUGGGCGACUUGAGGACGGAAGAGGGCAGUGGAAUUCCUGGUGUAGCGGUGAAAUGCGUAGAUAUCAGGAGGAACACCGGUGGCGAAGGCGGCUGCCUGGUCCGUAUCUGACGCUGAGGUGCGAAAGCUAGGGGAGCGAACGGGAUUAGAAACCCUAGUAGUCC
rnacentral:rRNA from 1 species